rnacentral:ncRNA from 1 species
UUGAAUAAAAGGCAAACCAAUCGAAAGAUUGGGACGCAAAGCCUCCGGUCUAAGGGGAUAGUGUUGAGGCGGUCGUUGUCUCAGUAUUAUCGCAGUACCUAAGAUAGCGGGGAUACUUCA